rnacentral:lncRNA from 1 species
AGAAGGAGACUUAGCUCUCUCUUAAGUGGGGGUGAAAAUCCAGGAGCGAAUCUGAAAUGAUCCACCUCUCCAAAUCCGUCCACUGUUUAAUUGGCUCCAUGUAGCUAUAGGGAAAUUGAGGCAUAACUGCUGUGUCCACUAGCCCAAAGCUGUUCCAGGGACAGCAGCAACCUCAGGAGGAGGCCAGAGAUUGGCCAAUGGAAAGGCAGAAAGCAGGGACUCUCCACCCAGGUGGAGGCACCACAGGGCCCGUGGAGGGAAUGGACAGCUGGCAUUACGGUCCCCCUACCUUUUCCCAAGACUCUUCCAGCUGACCUACUAAGGCUGCCCCUUGACCUUGAGUACAAAUGGCACUCAUGCCCAAACAGCCGCUUGACCAGAGCCAACCGACAACCUCCUGUGAGUUUCUCAGCCCCAGGCUGGAUCUGCAGUACCAUUGUGUCUUGAAUCCAGCUUGGCCAUAAGGAAAUGGGGCGAGACUUUGUCAUGUAUGUCGCUGAAGUUCAGCUAUGCAAAAAUGUUCACCUAUCCUUGAUCAACCAGUCCAGGAACCAUCAAAGAAGAAAAUGAGAUUCGACUUAGAAGACCUGUUCUUUAUAAACCCCUGCACAGCCCUAAUGAUCAACACCACUUCCAGUGCUCAUAAAUUACUGCUUCAAUAAUUGUUCUGCAAUUCUGCCUAUUCUCAUUGAAUG